rnacentral:misc_RNA from 1 species
AGGAGAGGAGAGGAGAGGAGAGGAAAAGCCAAACUGAUUCAUAGCUGUUGUGGCGAUUUGUUGAGCUUUCUGAAAUUGAUUUCACUUUUCCUUAAAAUCUGCCCUUCUCUGUCUCUUCUCAAAUUGCAUUUUUAUGACCCUAUUUAUGUCCAGAUUGAUCGGUUUUUGAGGUGAAUUGUGAAGUUCUAAAACCCCUUCAGGUAGUUUUAAUUGACUGAAGUUGAGCUAAUCAGACAAAAUGGGAGUUCCAGCGUUUUAUAGGUGGUUGGCUGAUCGAUACCCACUCUCAAUUGUGGACAUGGUAGAGGAAGAGCCUAAAGAUGAUGUUCCGGUGGAUAUUUCAAAGCCAAACCCUAAUGGCAUGGAAUUUGAUAACUUGUACUUGGACAUGAAUGGCAUCAUUCAUCCUUGUUUUCAUCCUGAAGGAAAGCCUGCACCAGCAACCUACAAUGACGUAUUCAACUCAAUUUUUGACUACAUUGACCAUCUUUUCUCAUUAGUGCGUCCAAGAAAACUCCUCUAUAUGGCUAUUGAUGGAGUGGCUCCUAGAGCUAAGAUGAAUCAGCAGAGAACCAGGCGUUUCAGAGCUUCUAAAGAUGCUGCUGAAUCUGAAGCUGAAGAAAAAAGGUUAAGAGAAGAGUUUGAGAUGGAGGCUGCUAUUUUAGUGCCUACAGAAAAGCCUGAGACAUCUGAUUCAAAUGUUAUUACUCCUGGUACCCCAUUUAUGGCAGUACUAUCAAUAGCUCUUCAAUAUUAUAUACACUCGAGGUUGAAUAAAAAUGCUGGCUGGCGGUUUACCAAGGUUAUCCUUUCUGAUGCUAAUGUGCCUGGUGAGGGUGAACACAAAAUUAUGUCCUACAUUCGCUUGCAACGUAACAUUCCUGGCUUCAACCCGAAUACCCGCCAUUGUCUCUAUGGUCUAGAUGCAGAUCUUAUUAUGUUGUCUCUGGCUACUCAUGAAGUUCAUUUUUCAAUAUUGAGGGAGGUGAUUACUCCACCAGGUCAGCAGGAAAAGUGUUUUGCCUGUGGUCAGGUUGGACAUCUUGCAGCUAGUUGUCAUGGUACAAAUGGAAACCAUGGCAAAGAUGGGAAGGCUGUGAAUGACACACCUAUUCACAAGAAGAAAUAUCAGUUUCUCCAUAUCUGGGUGCUGCGAGAGUAUUUGCAAUAUGAUUUAGAGAUUUACAACCCUCCAUUUCAGAUAGACUUUGAAAGGGUGGUGGAUGAUUUUGUUUUUUUGUGUUUUUUUGUUGGAAACGAUUUUCUUCCCCAUAUGCCAACACUGGAGAUUCGAGAGGGUGCCAUCAAUCUGCUGAUGUCCAUCUAUAGAAGGGACUUUACAACUAUGGGUGGUUAUCUUACGGAUGCGGGUGAGGUUUUUUUGGAUAGAGUAGAACAUUUUAUUCAGGCAGCAGCAGUUUAUGAAGAUCAAAUCUUCCAAAAGAGAGCCCGGAUACAACAGUCGAUAGAAAAUAAUGAAAGGGUGAGAAAAGAGGCUAAUGCUCAGCCACAUCCUCCGGCAGAGGACAAGGUGAAGCUAGGAGAGCCUGGAUACAAGGAAAGGUAUUAUUCUGAGAAAUUUGGUGUAUCAACUGCAGAGGAUAUCCAUGAAGUUAGACAAGAUGUAGUUCAGAAGUAUGUGGAAGGAUUAUGUUGGGUUUGCCGGUAUUACUACCAAGGUGUUUGCUCGUGGCAAUGGUUUUACCCAUAUCAUUAUGCUCCAUUUGCUUCUGAUCUCAAAGGUCUAGCAGAUUUGGAAAUUACUUUUUUCCCAGGGGAACCAUUUAAGCCCUUCGAUCAGCUAAUGGGUGUUCUACCAGCUGCAAGUGCAAAAGCUCUUCCUGAAAAAUACAGGAUGCUGAUGAUGGAUCCUUCAUCACCAAUUUCUGAUUUUUACCCAACAGAUUUCGAACUUGACAUGAAUGGGAAGCGUUUUGCAUGGCAGGCUGUUGUAAAAUUGCCGUUCAUCGAUGAGAAAAAGUUACUUGCUGAAACAAAGAAGCUUGAAGACACGUUAACGGACACGGAGCAACUAAGGAACAGUGUAAUGUUCGAUUUGCUCUAUGUUCAUCAUCACCAUACUUUGGCCCCAUAUAUCAUUUCGUACUAUCAUCACAAUGUUAUGAUUCCCUCCAGGGCCCAAAGGCCAUGGAUAAUUGAUGCAAAUUUGAGCGG